rnacentral:rRNA from 1 species
UAAUACGAAGGGGGCUAGCGUUGCUCGGAAUUACUGGGCGUAAAGGGCGCGUAGGCGGACAGUUAAGUCAGAGGUGAAAGCCCAGGGCUCAACCCUGGAAUAGCCUUUGAUACUGGCUGUCUUGAGUGCGGGAGAGGUGUGUGGAACUCCGAGUGUAGAGGUGAAAUUCGUAGAUAUUCGGAAGAACACCAGUGGCGAAGGCGACACACUGGCCCGUAACUGACGCUGAGGCGCGAAAGCGUGGGGAGCAAACAGGAUUAGAUACCCUGGUAGUCCACGCCGUAAACGAUGAGUGCUAGUUGUCGGCAUGCAUGCAUGUCGGUGACGCAGCUAACGCAUUAAGCACUCCGCCUGGGGAGUACGGUCGCAAGAUUA